AUUUUAUUGUAAAGUUAAUAUUUCAAGAAGUCCACUUGGAGCUCUUAGAUAAACCUAGCAUCUAGGCCUACUAUAAUCCAUCGCCGUAGAUCAAGUCAUAAUCAUUCAUAAAAAAUUUAAAGGGAGUAGUGUUUGACUGUACCUUGAAACCAUCAUCUACAUUGAAUAAGUUUAAAGUUUGACUAAACUUUGUUUCGAAUGCACCUGUGAUGUUUUAAAAGAUUUGUUUGUGUUACUGACUUCAUCAAAUGAAGAUUCAGAUCUGAAGGUCAAUUGUUGGUGUCAAGGUUCAGGUACUUUGGAUCAAUGUUUGACAGAAAAGCCUGAAGGAGUCGUGUGUUUAUCAUCACUCCUUAUGACUGAGGGCUUGAGAAGCUAAAAUCUUUUUCAAAAAGCCAUGAACCAACUUUUGCUGUUAUGUGCAAUGCACCUCACUAUACAAGUCAAAAGCAUGUAUCUUUCCAGACAUCCUGUUUUGUAAACAAGGCUCAAGCUAUAUUUAAAUUUCAAGUUCUUAGUUAUCAAAGGAUCAAUGCAUCAUUUGGAAGACAAAUCACAAAUUCAAGACACAAGCCAUUUCAAGAGAAAUUUAAACUUCCUAGUAUUAUCUUUUGUAUUUAAAAUGUACAAACAUCAAAUCUUUACUAGCACUAUGAGUAAUAUUAUUCUGAUCAAUGUUUAUGUCAACUGUCACAUUCUUAAAUAUAGACAUACUUCUUAUAUAGCCACUUAUCUAUUAACAUUAUUAUUUUAAUUUUAUUAUGUCAACUUAUUACACUAUAAAUUAGAAUGUCUUGUGUAC